UUGGGGAAUAUGGAGGUCGGCAGGGCUCUUCUUCUUCCUUCUCCUCUCCGCCGGCUGGAGGGAGAAUCUUGCUUUUGCAGGUCUGCAGGAAAGAGGUCCCCAGUGUCCUUUGAGGAGGUAGCUGUGUCCUUCACGGAGGAGGAAUGGGCUCUGCUGGAUCGAGGCCAAAGAAAAGUCUUCUGGGAAGUGAUGGAGGAAAAUUAUGAGGCCGUGGCCUCUCUGUAGACCCCCGGUGUCCUUUGAGGAGGUAGCCGUGUUCUUCACAGUGGAGGAAUGGGCUCUCCUGGAUGCAGGCCAGAGAAAAAUCUACUGGGAUGUCACAGAAGAAAAUCUCGAGAC